AUGCCGCCGCACGGGGAUCUGGACCGGCAGAUCGCGCACCUGCGCGAGUGCAAGCACCUCCCGGAGGCGGAGGUCAAGGGGCUCUGCGAGCAGGCCAAGGCCAUCCUCAUGGAGGAGUGGAACGUGCAGCCCGUCCGCUGCCCCGUCACCGUCUGCGGCGACAUCCACGGCCAGUUCUACGACCUCAUCGAGCUCUUCCGCAUCGGCGGCGAGUCGCCCGAUACCAACUACCUCUUCAUGGGCGACUACGUCGAUCGUGGCUACUAUUCGGUGGAGACUGUUUCGCUGUUAGUGGCUUUGAAAGUUCGCUACAGAGACAGAAUUACGAUAUUGAGAGGAAAUCAUGAGAGCAGACAAAUCACUCAAGUAUAUGGCUUCUAUGACGAGUGCUUGCGAAAAUAUGGGAAUGCUAAUGUAUGGAAGUACUUUACAGACCUGUUUGAUUAUUUGCCUCUCACGGCUCUUAUAGAAAACCAGGUGUUCUGCCUUCAUGGUGGUCUCUCUCCAUCAUUGGAUACACUAGAUAACAUCCGUGCUCUUGAUCGCAUACAAGAGGUUCCUCAUGAAGGGCCCAUGUGUGAUCUAUUGUGGUCUGAUCCAGACGAUCGAUGUGGAUGGGGAAUUUCACCAAGAGGAGCGGGUUAUACGUUUGGGCAGGAUAUCGCACAACAGUUCAACCAUACAAAUGGCCUCUCUCUUAUAUCAAGGGCCCAUCAACUUGUAAUGGAAGGAUUCAAUUGGUGCCAGGAUAAGAAUGUUGUAACGGUCUUCAGUGCACCAAACUACUGUUACCGAUGUGGUAACAUGGCCGCUAUUCUUGAGAUUGGGGAAAACAUGGAUCAUAACUUCCUCCAGUUUGAUCCAGCGCCUCGGCAAAUCGAGCCUGACACAACACGCAAGACCCCCGACUACUUUUUGUAA
rnacentral:rRNA from 1 species